rnacentral:lncRNA from 1 species
CUACAUUAGCUGAGCCACUGAAAAUCUACUACUACACUUACUGAAGUUGCUACUACACUAGCUGAACCACUAAAAUCUUGCUACUACAUCUGUUGGAAGUGUAGCUUUCUAGCAAAACAUGCUACUACAUUAGCUGAGCCAAUGAAAAUCUGCUACUACUUCUACUGGGAUGUUAACUUCUGCUGCUACUACUUCUAUUGGGAUGUUAACUUCUGCUCCUACUUUCUACUGGAAUGUUAACCCAUGAUACUACUUAUACUGGAAUUAACUGCUUCUACUACUGGGAUGUUAACUCAUGCUACUACUUCUACUAGGAUGUUAACCCUUGCUACUACUUCCACUGGAAUUAACUGCUACUAGUUCUACUGGGAUGUUAACCUCUGCUACUACACUAAGUUAUUGAAAACAUGCUACUGUAUUCCAUUCACUGAAAAAAUCUCAAAAGGAGAGACUUUUCUCUUCUAAAAACAUAUUUAAUGUGGAAAACCCUAGCCGCAACCUUCUAUGAAAACCCUAUUCUCUCUAGCGUGUCUUCUCGCUUCAUCACUCUUGCUGCCUCCCCUUGAAGGCGUCGAAUCCAGCGGCUCCCAUCGAAAGCCAACCUCAGGGCACAUCUGCCAUCCUACUAUUCCCCCUUAUUCAAUCCACCUACCACAUCCCUUUGCUUGGACAAUUAGACACAAUGGAGACGUCCUUAGGGCUGGGCAUCCAUCUUGGUUUUGGUGGCUGUUAGAUGAUGAGAUCGGAGUGCUGCUAGAGGUGGGAGUGUUGAUCUCGCCUGUUACGCAAUGGUGGUUGCGACUGUGGAUGUCGUCCAAUAGCACAGCGGGUUGUCUGUGGAUUCGGAUGAUGGUGCGACGUGGCAAAUCUGGUUGGGAUUGUUGAUGACGGGUCGACGGUGUUGGUUGCCGGAUUCGACAAUGGUUGCCUCUGCAAAGCAGCAGAAGAGAUCUGAUCGGGUUUGGGUCUAUUUGAAACUACUUUCUGCAAGCCUAUGGAUUUGAGACCCAGGAAUCACUCAUCUAAAUUGUCAUGGAUCUAAGGUCUACCUAUGGCUCCGCUGGCCGAAGUUUAACCUCCGAGCAUAUUCCCCGGCAAUGGAGAGUAGAAAAGGCUUGGGUCAAUGGAUCUUGGUGCUACAAAGACGUUUUACCCUACACUACCAGGACAAGCACUUUAGCCGACGAAACUUUUUCGUCGGCCUGUUAGCUUAAUUCGUCGGCUAAGAUCUUACCCGACGAGCCUUCGUCGGCUAUAGUUUCGUCAGGAAAGAGACGUCGGCGAUGACUUUAGCCGACGAAACUAGAAAACGUCGUCGGCUAUUGUCCCAGUAUAUAGCCGACGACAGAAGACGUCCUCGACCAUAGUCUGAGACUUUAGCCGACGAAACAUUUAAGAUAUUCAUCGGCUAAAGUAUGUAAUAAAAAAUUAAAAAUAACUAUAGCCGACGAAAUAUAGUAUGUUUCGUCAACUUUAGAAGUGUUUAGCAGACGAAACAUGCCAUAAUUCGUCGGCUAAACCUUAUAAAAAAAUUAAAAAAUACUAUAACCGACGAAUAUAGUCGGCUAAAGUAUUUAAAUAUUGUCGGCUAAAGUUGCUGGUUUUUGAAAAAGAAAACUGCAGAAACUUUCGGCCACCUCCAAUCACCACCAAAAUUUGAUAGAAUCUUCCUCUCAACAUUUCAAACAACUUUCUAGAAGAAGUCGAAGCCCAAUUCUAAGCCUAAACAGGUCAAUUGAAUCAAAAUAUUAAAAUCCCUAAUUUUAAACCCUAAAAACUUCAAAUCUUCGAUUCUCCUCACACACACCGAAUCGAGCUACCAAAUUCUAGGGGAAUGUAGUACUAAUCAAACUCAACUUAUCCAUAUAUAGAACUCACCAAAUGGUGACCUGAGAAAGAGAAAUUCGAUCGACACCGAAUCCGAACCCGCGGAGUUUUGGAUCUCAAUUUAUCUCUCACGGCGACGCCACUCGAUGCACCACAUGUCUAGCAAUGAAGUAGAGACGACGGCGAAGCUUUUGGGACAAAUGUGGCGGUCUCCAGUGGCUUGACGGCGGAGCUAGGCCGAGAAGAAAAUCCGGCAGGCGAAACAAUAACUUUUUCUGAUUUUCUGACUUCUUACCAUCCACCUCCGGUAAAACUCCUAUAUAAAGAACUUUACCCGACGAAAUUCUUUAUUUUCGUCGGCUAAACUCUUUUGAAAAUUUUGAAAAUUUUGGUUGACCGCCAAAAAUUUUUUAACAAUAGCCGACAAAAUCAUAUAUUUUCGUCGGUUUAAGUCCUUUGAAAAUUUUCCCCCAAAUUUGGUUUGCCGCCAAAUUUUUUUCAACUUUAGCCGACGACUUUUCAUAUAUUUUCGUCGGCUAAAGUCCUUUGAAAAUUUUCCUCCAAAUUUGGUUUACCGCCAAAAAAAUUUUGACUUUAGCCGACGACUUUUUUAAUAUCUCGUCGGCUAAAAUCUAUAAAUUCACGAAAACGCUCAUAUCUCCCUCUAUAUUACGUAGUUUGGUCAAACCUUCCACAUGAAAAACUCUCACGUAGAUGAGAUGCAACUGCCCAUAUAAAAAUUUUGAGACAUUUACCUUCUGACGAUAGGGCUCCCCAUAGGGAAUAAUAACAUAGGGAAUAAUAACAGUAAAUAGGGUUGACCGCUACUAUUCGCACGAGACUUUACGUGAUUUUUGAACCAUAGGCGUAUUUCACCAUUCUAAACACAUCUUAUUUCACGAGAUUUUUGAUAAUUUUGCUUCCUAUGUAGAGUUGGUUCACAAAGUUGUAUAACCUACUAAACAAGUUAUACAACAUUUGUAGACACGUUGUGAUUCCGAUGACUAAAAUUCACAAACCAAAAUUCGACCGUCAGAUAUGAUCAUUAUGACGAAAGAUGUCUAUGGUAAAAAAUUCAACUGGAUCCGACAACUUUAAGGGCUCGAUCGAAACAGUCAACCCUAAUCCAUCGUCACUUAUCACAUGAAAACGCUCAUAUCUCCCUUUAUAUUACAUAGUUUGGUCAAACCUUCCACAUGAAAAACUCUCACGUAGAUGAGACGCAACUGCCCAUAUAAAAAUUUUGAGACAUUUACCUUCCGAAGAUAGGGUUCCCCAUAGGUUAUAAUAACGGUAAAUAGGGUUGACCGCUACUAUCGGCACUGAGACGUUACUCAGUUUACGUGAUUUUUGAACCACAGCCGUAUUUCACCAUUCUAAACACAUCUUAUUUCACAAGAUUUUUGAUAAUUUUGCUUCCUAUGUAGAGUUGUUCACAAAGAAGUUAUAUAACAUUAGUAGACACGUUGUAAUUCCGAUGACUAAAAUUCACAAACCAAAAUUUGACCGUCAGAUAUGAUCAUUAUGAUGAAAGAUGUCUAUGGUAAAAAAUUCAACUGGAUUUGACAACGUUAAGGGCUCGAUCGAAACGGUCAACUCUAAUCAGAAAUAAGAAAACUGCAUUUUGAAGCCCUAAACGGACUCGGAUAGCCAAAAAUGCCCAUAUAUUAGGACAUAGCCAUGAGUUCGACUCGUAGGGCCGUUACGCUUCCGGAAAGGUAUCACAAUAGUCAAUCGGACACCGAAUGCCAAAUCUACAGCAUAGUCAAUACCGGGUUUCGACUGUUCUACAUCAGAGACCUUACCCGAUUUACGUGAUUUUUAAACCAUAACCGUAUUUCACCAUUCUGAACACAUCUUAUUUCACGAGAUUUUUGUUAAUUUUGCUUCUAUGUAGAGUUGGUUUACAAAGUUGUGUAUUUGUUUAAAACCUACUAAGCAAGUUAUAUAACAUUUUAUUGUUUUUCUUUUAGCCGACGACUUUUUUCGAUAAUAGCCGACGAAGGAAAACUUUGACCGAUGAAAAAAAAAUUUCGUUGGCUAAAGUAUAGUAUAGCCGACAAAAAAAUUUCUUUAGCCGACGAAAGA